rnacentral:rRNA from 1 species
UUUUCAUUGGAGAGUUUGAUCCUGGCUCAGGACGAACGCUGGCGGCGUGCUUAACACAUGCAAGUCGAACGGAAAGGCCCUGCUUUUGUGGGGUGCUCGAGUGGCGAACGGGUGAGUAACACGUGAGUAACCUGCCCUUGACUUUGGGAUAACUUCAGGAAACUGGGGCUAAUACCGGAUAGGAGCUCCUGCUGCAUGGUGGGGGUUGGAAAGUUUCGGCGGUUGGGGAUGGACUCGCGGCUUAUCAGCUUGUUGGUGGGGUAGUGGCUUACCAAGGCUUUGACGGG